UCAAUAAGCGGAGGAAAAGAAACCAACAGGGAUUGCCCUAGUAACGGCGAGUGAAGCGGCAUCAGCUCAAAUUUGAAAUCUGGCUCUUUCAGGGUCCGAGUUGUAAUUUGCAGAGGGCGCUUUGGCGUUGGCAGCGGUCCAAGUUCCUUGGAACAGGACGUCACAGAGGGUGAGAAUCCCGUACGUGGUCGCUGGCCUUCGCCGUGUAAAGCCCCUUCGACGAGUCGAGUUGUUUGGGAAUGCAGCUCUAAAUGGGAGGUAAAUUUCUUCUAAAGCUAAAUACUGGCCAGAGACCGAUAGCGCACAAGUAGAGUGAUCGAAAGAUGAAAAGCACUUUGGAAAGAGAGUCAAAUAGCACGUGAAAUUGUUGAAAGGGAAGCGCUUGCAGCCAGACUUGCCUGUAGUUGCUCAUCCGGGCUUUUGCCCGGUGCACUCUUCUGCGGGCAGGCCAGCAUCAGUCUGGGCGGUUGGAUAAAGGUCUCUGUCAUGUACCUCCUCUCGGGGAGGCCUUAUAGGGGAGGCGUAAUGCAACCAGCCUGGACUGAGGUCCGCGCAUCUGCUAGGAUGCUGGCGUAAUGGCUGUAAGCGGCCCGUCUUGAAACACGGACCAAGGAGUCUAACAUCUAUGCGAGUGUUUGGGUGUCAAGCCCGAGCGCGUAAUGAAAGUGAACGGAGGUGGGAUCCCUUUAGGGUGCACCAUCGACCGAUCCUGAUGUCUUCGGAUGGAUUUGAGUAAGAGCAUGGCUGUUGGGACCCGAAAGAUGGUGAACUAUGCUUGAAUAGGGUGAAGCCAGAGGAAACUCUGGUGGAGGCUCGCAGCGGUUCUGACGUGCAAAUCGAUCGUCAAAUUUGGGCAUAGGGGCGAAAGA
rnacentral:sRNA from 1 species